rnacentral:lncRNA from 1 species
AAAGGGAGAGAAGUAAAAGUUUAGGGGGAAAAUAAAAAGUUUUGGGAAAUAAAAGUUUGAGGGAAAGUAAAUAGGGGGAGUAAAAUUUUGGAGGGAAAAUAUUUAAAAAAAAUUGGAGGGGGGAGGGCUUGGGGUAGAUGAGAGGUGGGAGGUGAGAUGGGAAGAGAAUAAAGGUUUUAGGGAAAAAGUAGGAGGGAGUAAAAAUUUUAGGAGAAAAUAAAAUGUUUUGAGGGUUUUUGAGAGUAAAAUUUUGGUGGGAAAUGGAUUUUGGGUAGAUUGGGAGUUUGGUAGGGGAGGGGAGUAAAAGUUUUGAGGGAAAGUGGGAAGGAGUAAAAGUUUUGAGGGAAAAGUAAAAAGGUUUGGGAGUUUAGGGUAAAAAUGUUGUAGAGCCCAAAUUUUUGCCCGGGCCUCACCAAAUAACAGCCCAAGUAGCCCAAUAAGCCCAAAUUAAACCAAACCCAAAUACAACCCAAACCUAGCCCAAUUAUCAAAACCCAAUACCCAUUUUCAGAAAAAACAAAAGAAAAACCCUAGCCCCUAACCCUAGCCUUUGCCGCCGCCUUAACCUCUACCAUGCCAGCAUUGCCACUGCGCCGCACGUCCCCUCACCCACUUGCACCUGCAGCACCUGCAAACUAAAACCAAACACGCAACAACCAGGGCAAAAAAAGAAGAAACAACAGAGAAAUGAAAAAAGAAAAAGAACGAUUGUAAUACUCAGGUAUAAAAAGCCAUUUUUCGAUUUCUUUGCCCCUUCUUUUUCAUGAAUACUAAGAAAUAAAGAGCAAAGAAAACCAAGGUGAUUUCCUGGUUUUUGAUUUGAAUCUUUCGUUUUUUUUCCUAUUUCUUAUCAUUUUGCUUAUUUUUUUUAUUUCUUAAAACGAAAAUAAAAAGAGAAAAAGAGAAACUCACCAGGGGGCUUUAAAAACCCGUUAUCGCGCUUCGUUGGCCGUCGAUCUGGUGGCGGUGCGGCGGAUGUGCGAAUGGUGGUGGGAGGCCGAUCGUUGGGGAGGUUUUGAAAGGUUUCAGCUUUUCUUUUUCUGUAAUGGGG